GUAGGGAAUAUUGUGCAAUGGACGAAAGUCUGACGCAGCGACGCCGCGUGAGUGAUGAAGGCCUUAGGGUCGUAAAGCUCUGUUGAAUGGGAAGAAAAAAAUGACGGUACCAUUCGAGGAAGGACCGGCUAACUUCGUGCCAGCAGCCGCGGUAAUACGAGGGGUCCUAGCGUUGUUCGGAAUCAUUGGGCGUAAAGGGUGUGUAGGUGGCCAUGUAAGUCAGGUGUGAAAGCCCCGGGCUCAACCCGGGAAGUGCACUUGAUACUGCGUGGCUUGAGUACCGAAGAGGGUAGUGGAAUUCCAGGUGUAGUGGUGAAAUACGUAGAUAUCUGGAGGAACACCGGUGGCGAAGGCGGCUACCUGGUCGAGUACUGACACUGAGACACGAAAGCAUGGGGAUCAAACAGGAUUAGAAACCCCAGUAGUCC
rnacentral:rRNA from 1 species